rnacentral:precursor_RNA from 1 species
CACACGUCAUCAAAAACGGCAUCUUUGCACUCAGCAGGCAGGCUGGUGCAGCCCGUGGUGGGGGACCAUCCUGCCUGCUGUGGGGUAAGGACGGCUGUGUGCGCCAGGCUACAG